rnacentral:rRNA from 1 species
UACGAAGGGGGCUAGCGUUGUUCGGAAUUACUGGGCGUAAAGCGCACGUAGGCGGCUUUGUAAGUUAGAGGUGAAAGCCCGGAGCUCAACUCCGGAAUUGCCUUUAAGACUGCAUCGCUCGAAUCAUGGAGAGGUGAGUGGAAUUCCGAGUGUAGAGGUGAAAUUCGUAGAUAUUCGGAAGAACACCAGUGGCGAAGGCGGACCAUCUGGACGGUGACUGACGCUGAGACGCGAAAGCGUGGGGAGCAAACAGGG